rnacentral:rRNA from 1 species
AGAGUUUGAUCAUGGCUCAGAUUGAACGCUGGCGGCAGGCCUAACACAUGCAAGUCGAACGGUAACAUUUCUAGCUUGCUAGAAGAUGACGAGUGGCGGACGGGUGAGUAAUGCUUGGGAACUUGCCUUUGCGAGGGGGAUAACAGUUGGAAACGACUGCUAAUACCGCAUAAUGUCUACGGACCAAACGGGGCUUAGGCUCCGGCGCAAAGAGAGGCCCAAGUGAGAUUAGCUAGUUGGUAAGGUAAUGGCUUACCAAGGCAACGAUCUCUAGCUGUUCUGAGAGGAAGAUCAGCCACACUGGAACUGAGACACGGUCCAGACUCCUACGGGAGGCAGCAGUGGGGAAUAUUGCACAAUGGGGGAAACCCUGAUGCAGCCAUGCCGCGUGUGUGAAGAAGGCCUUCGGGUUGUAAAGCACUUUCAGUUGUGAGGAAAAGUUAGUAGUUAAUACCUGCUAGCCGUGACGUUAACAACAGAAGAAGCACCGGCUAACUCCGUGCCAGCAGCCGCGGUAAUACGGAGGGUGCGAGCGUUAAUCGGAAUUACUGGGCGUAAAGCGCACGCAGGCGGUUUGUUAAGCUAGAUGUGAAAGCCCCGGGCUCAACCUGGGAUAGUCAUUUAGAACUGGCAGACUAGAGUCUUGGAGAGGGGAGUGGAAUUCCAGGUGUAGCGGUGAAAUGCGUAGAUAUCUGGAGGAACAUCAGUGGCGAAGGCGACUCCCUGGCCAAAGACUGACGCUCAUGUGCGAAAGUGUGGGUAGCGAACAGGAUUAGAUACCCUGGUAGUCCACACCGUAAACGCUGUCUACUAGCUGUUUGUGACUUUAA